rnacentral:rRNA from 1 species
AGUGAACGCUGGCGGUAGGCCUAACACAUGCCAGUCGAACGGCAGCACAGUAAGAGCUUGCUCUUACGGGUGGGGAGUGGCGGACGGGUGAGGAAUACAUCGGAAUCUACUUUUUCGUGGGGGAUAACGUAGGGAAACUUACGCUAAUACCGCAUACGACCUACGGGUGAAAGCAGGGGAUCUUCGGACCUUGCGCGAUUGAAUGAGCCGAUGUCGGAUUAGCUAGUUGGCGGGGUAAAGGCCCACCAAGGCGACGAUCCGUAGCUGGUCUGAGAGGAUGAUCAGCCACACUGGAACUGAGACACGGUCCAGACUCCUACGGGAGGCAGCAGUGGGGAAUAUUGGACAAUGGGCGCAAGCCUGAUCUAGCCAUACCGCGUGGGUGAAGAAGGCCUUCGGGUUGUAAAGCCCUUUUGUUGGGAAAGAAAAGCAGCAGGUUAAUACCCCGCUGUUCUGACGGUACCCAAAGAAUAAGCACCGGCUAACUUCGUG